UGCCAUGAUGUCGUAAUUUGCGUCUUACUCUGCACUUGGCGACAGUUGCCUGCUGUCAUUUGGCUGAGACAGGUGGUUGACGAUCAGUUAACUCUGAGCA